AAGUAUGCUAGUAUGCAGUGGCGGCUGGCCAGCAGGGGGCGCUGGGGCGCCGCCCUCACCUACAAAGAGUCCAUAUUCCUGGUUACUACACAAUUAAAAAAAACAAACUGUUAGGAAUAAUUUCGGAUGAAGAUAUGUGUAAAAUAAUGUAUUUUUUUUUAGCUUUUUGUGCAUGUUAAGCGCAUUACACAGUGUUUCUUUUUAAUGAUUUUUCAUUGAACAACACUUCCUGGUUGCGGGGGCGCCGGUCAAAUGAAUCCCUAUUGUCAGCCUCAAACUUUUGACUAAAACGU